rnacentral:rRNA from 1 species
GCAAAUACUCAAAAAAACAAUCUCAGUUCAGACUGCAGGCUGCAACUCGCCUGCACGAAGUCGGAAUUGCUAGUAAUCGUAGGUCAGCAUACUACGGUGAAUACGUUCCCGGGCCUUGUACACACCGCCCGUCAAACCAUGAGAGUUGGCAACACCCGAAGUCGGUAGUCUAACCGCAAGGAGGACGCCGCCGAAGGUGGGGUUGAUGAUUAGGGUUAAGUCGUAACAAGGUAAC